GACGAACGCUGGCGGCGUGCUUAACACAUGCAAGUCGAACGGAAAGGCCCCUUUGGGGGUACUCGAGUGGCGAACGGGUGCGUAACACGUGAGUAACCUGCCCUUGACUUCGGGAUAACUUCAGGAAACUGGGGCUAAUACCGGAUGGGAAUCCUUGCUGCAUGGUGGGGGUUGGAAAGCUUCGGCGGUUUUGGAUGGACUCGCGGCUUAUCAGCUUGUUGGUGGGGUAGUGGCUUACCAAGGCUUUGACGGGUAGCCGGCCUGAGAGGGCGACCGGCCACAUUGGGACUGAGAUACGGCCCAGACUCCUACGGGCGGCAGCAGUGGGGAAUAUUGCACAAUGGGCGGAAGCCUGAUGCAGCAACGCCGCGUGCGGGAUGACGGCCUUCGGGUUGUAAACCGCGUUCAGCAGGGGCGAAGCUUGUGGUGACGGUACCUGCAGAAGAAGCACCGGCUAACUACGUG
rnacentral:rRNA from 1 species